rnacentral:tRNA from 1 species
GGUUGUGGCUUAGUGGUAGAGCACUUGCCUGGCAUGUAUGAGGCCCUGGGUUCAACCCUCAGCACCA